GAUGAACGCUAGCGGCAGGCCUAAUACAUGCAAGUCGAACGGGUUGUGGUAGCAAUACCACGAUCAGUGGCGCACGGGUGCGUAACGCGUAUGCAACCUACCUUAAACUGGGGGAUAGCCUUCCGAAAGGGAGAUUAAUACCGCAUAGUAUCAUUUGAGGGCAUCUGAAGAUGAUUAAAGAUUUAUUGGUUUAAGAUGGGCAUGCGUGCCAUUAGCUAGUUGGUGAGGUAACGGCUCACCAAGGCGACGAUGGCUAGGGGUUCUGAGAGGAUGAUCUCCCACACUGGUACUGAGAUACGGACCAGACUCCUACGGGAGGCAGCAGUAGGGAAUAUUGGGCAAUGGAGGCAACUCUGACCCAGCCAUGCCGCGUGCAGGAAGAAGGCCUUCUGG
rnacentral:rRNA from 1 species